rnacentral:rRNA from 1 species
AUCGAAAGGGCACUUUAAUGAGACUGCCGGUGACAAACCGGAGGAAGGUGGGGAUGACGUCAAGUCCUCAUGGCCCUUAUGGGUAGGGCUACACACGUCAUACAAUGGCUGGUACAGAGGGUUGCCAACCCGCGAGGGGGAGCUAAUCCCAUAAAACCAGUCGUAGUCCGGAUCGCAGUCUGCAACUCGACUGCGUGAAGUCGGAAUCGCUAGUAAUCGCGGAUCAGCAUGUCGCGGUGAAUACGUUCCCGGGUCUUGCACACACCGCCCGUCACACCAUGGGAGCGGGUUCUGCCAGAAGUAGUUAGCCUAACCGCAAGGAGGGCGAUUACCACGGCAGGGUUCGUGACUGGGGUGAAGUCGUAACAAGGUAACCGUAA